UGACUGCUGUACUUUGUGAUGAAAUAAAUGCUGUCCAUGUGUGUUAGAGGUGCUGAGAGAGCACUGAUUGAACUGACCUCCCAAAGGAGCUGACAUAGACAUGCCUUGUUUGUAAAUCAUAAACAGUCUAACAGCAGAGACAGGCACUGAGAUACCAAGGCGCUGAUACUUCAAGGAACAUACAACAUUUUCAGCACCAAAAGUUGUCACUGUGUUACCAACGAAUUAACCCCAGCACCAUAACAUACUAUAGAAUUGAUAGAACAGAGUAGCAGUCUCACUGCAGUAAAUAUCUCAUGCCUUGAUCCUACACAGAAAUUCACAGAUGAAAAAUUCAAUGAGAUUCUGACAGGCACAUGCAUCCAUUUGUACAAGGAUGAUGGUACAAUCAGAUCCUUAAAUGUCUAUUUACUACAAAAAAACAGCAAAACUCCUGAACUGACUUCAGAGAAAAAAUCACAACAGUGGUAUAUUGAUCCUGAAACGCGAACAAUCCUGAAGACUGUUACCUCUUCAGGACAAGCCAACAGAAUUAUGUGAUUGUUUUUGUAUCCCCUCUCUCUAAAGUAAAUUUCAUCGUUUAAAGCAAUAAUCCUGAGUUUAGCCUAGCUGGAAAAAGGAUGCUCCACCUAUUGUGAGACUUAUCUUCAGUAAAAUGUGUUUUCACUCUUCAUUUUCAGAACUUCAUAAUGUCUUCUGUUUCUGCUGUUGCCACUCAUUCAUACCUGUGUGUCUCAUACAUUGUCC
rnacentral:lncRNA from 1 species